GAUGAACGCUGGCGGCGUGCCUAAUACAUGCAAGUCGAGCAAACAGACGAGGAGCUUGCUCCUCUGACGUUAGCGGCGGACGGGUGAGUAACACGUGGAUAACCUACCUAUAAGACUGGGAUAACUUCGGGAAACCGGAGCUAAUACCGGAUAACAUGUUGAACCGCAUGGUUUAACAGUGAAAGACGGUCUUGCUGUCACUUAUAGAUGGAUCCGCGCCGCAUUAGCUAGUUGGUAAGGUAACGGCUUACCAAGGCAACGAUGCGUAGCCGACCUGAGAGGGUGAUCGGCCACACUGGAACUGAGACACGGUCCAGACUCCUACGGGAGGCAGCAGUAGGGAAUCUUCCGCAAUGGGCGAAAGCCUGACGGAGCAACGCCGCGUGAGUGAAGAAGGUCUUCGGAUCGUAAAACUCUGUUAUUAGGGAAGAACAAAUGUGUAAGUAACUAUGCACGUCUUGACGGUACCUAAUCAGAAAGCCACGGCUAACUACGUG
rnacentral:rRNA from 1 species